AGGUGUUACAGCUCUUUCAGAAUUUGUCUAGUAUGUUUUCUGAUUUUCACUCCCAGGUAGGCUCGGGAAGAGGCAUCU
ensembl:snRNA U7 U7 small nuclear RNA